UACGUAGGGGGCAAGCGUUAUCCGGAUUUACUGGGUGUAAAGGGGGCGCAGACGGCGAUGCAAGCCAGGAGUGAAAGCCCGGGGCCCAACCCCGGGACUGCUCUUGGAACUGCGUGGCUGGAGUGCAGGAGGGGCAGGCGGAAUUCCUGGUGUAGCGGUGAAAUGCGUAGAUAUUAGGAGGAACACCAGUGGCGAAGGCGGCUUACUGGACUGUAACUGACGUUGAGGCUCGAAAGCGUGGGGAGCAAACAGG
rnacentral:rRNA from 1 species